rnacentral:rRNA from 1 species
UACGAAGGGAGCUAGCGUUGUUCGGAAUCACUGGGCGUAAAGCGCACGUAGGCGGAUGUGUCAGUCAGGGGUGAAAUCCCGGAGCUCAACUUCGGAACUGCCUUUGAUACAGCACGUCUUGAGUCCGAUAGAGGUGGGUGGAAUUCCUAGUGUAGAGGUGAAAUUCGUAGAUAUUAGGAAGAACACCGGUGGCGAAGGCGGCCCACUGGAUCGGUACUGACGCUGAGGUGCGAAAGCGUGGGGAGCAAACG